AUUUUUAUAGCUUAAUUAGAGCAUUUCAGUGAAGUUGAAGGGGUAAUUUAUAUUUAAAAAUA
rnacentral:tRNA from 1 species